rnacentral:lncRNA from 1 species
UCAAGUGAGAAAUGUGGAGAAGUUCUGUCAAAACCUUUGAUUAUGCAAAACAAAGCUGUGGAGUAUUCUAGAUACUCUUUACUACAUCAGUAAAUGCUGGGGAAAAUGGGAAGCUUGGAUGGGGAGAGCCAAGCAGAAUGUUCAUUGAAAUGUUCAAGACUGGAAUGAAGAUGAUGGUGGAAAAGUCAACAACACCAUAUAGGUAAUAUUAUUGUCCACAGUAAUGACAUGAAAGAGAAAUGAC